rnacentral:rRNA from 1 species
UACGUAGGGUGCAAGCGUUGUCCGGAAUUAUUGGGCGUAAAGAGCUCGUAGGCGGUUUGUCGCGUCUGCUGUGAAAACUCGGGGCUUAACCCCGGGCCUGCAGUGGGUACGGGCAGACUAGAGUGUGGUAGGGGAGACUGGAAUUCCUGGUGUAGCGGUGAAAUGCGCAGAUAUCAGGAGGAACACCGAUGGCGAAGGCAGCCCCCUGGGUCAAAACUGACGCUCAUGCACGAAAGCGUGGGGAGCAAACAGG